UACAGAGGGUGCGAGCGUUGUUCGGAAUUACUGGGCGUACAGCGCGCGCAGGCGGUCCACUACGUGCCGUGUGACAAACGGUCGGCUUAACCGACGGAGGCCAGGGUACACGGGGUGAACUUGAGGCAGAGAGAGGGAUGUGGGAAUACCCGGUGGAGCGGUGAAAUGCGUAGAGAUCGGGUGGAACACCAGGGGCGAAGGCGGCAUCCUGGCUCUGUUCUGACGCUGGAGGCCGCGAGAGCGUGGGGAGCAAACCGG
rnacentral:rRNA from 1 species